CACUUUCUGUUUUAUUUCAGAAUCAGGAGGUGUAAUAUCUGCAAUAGUACUCUCAUGUUUAGCAGUUGUCUCUGCAGGAGCUGCUGGAGGAUACUACUAUCAUAAAAAAAAAAAAAAUAAAAACAAAGCUGAGCCAUCUUCUGGAAAUACAGAUGAGCAUAAAGAGAUGAAUGCAGUGGAACAUGAAAACACACCAGCUCAGUGAUGUUUUCUCCCAUUUAAGCUGGUGAUCUGAAAAUGAGCUGAACUGUGACAUCAUACGUAUCCAACCUGAAGACAACGUUUAUAAAUGUAAAUGGUAUUGUUUUAUUAUUUUUUGAAUGUCAUGUUCGACAAUGCAGUGCAACUUAACAGUAACUGGAUUACUGUUUUACUUAUGAAACAAGCUUACAACUGCAAUAAUUUUGCUUAGGGCAGAAGAUGACAAACAGCAGCACGUACAUAUUAGUGCCUUAUCGCCUGUUAUGACAGUGAGACAUCAGCUUUAACUUAAACCAGUCUUAUUUUCUUCUUAAAUAAAACAAAAUCUUAGAUGUGUUGACAGCACUUUGAGGGGGAUCCAUUGAUCUGAUGUUUUUAGUUGAUACCUGUAUCGAUACCAGGGCUUUUGGUACUGGCCGACACCAACUGCUGAUCCAAUACCAAUAUUUAAUUAACAUGUCAUAUUGCCUUACUGUGUCAGUGACUGAGAUUAUUAUUUUCUGUAUAAGGCUACAUCAGGCUCCACUUAAACAUUGCUUACCUUGCUUUUUAUUUUUAAAAAACCAAAACAAACAAAUUAAUAUAUCGAUAUCAAUCAACAUAAUUGUUUUUAUUGGUGAAAUAGUAAAUUGUGCGUGUAAUUAAAACUUUUAAAGGCAGUAACAAAUUGGUAAAAACAUGAGCAGGAAUUAAAAUUCUAGCAUGAAACAAUACAACUGCAAAAUGUGCUGCUCACACAUGACGAAGUAUGCACUGAUCAUAUGUCAACACAGAACUGAUUUAAGUGGAUCGGCCCCAUUGUCGCAGAUACUCGAGGAAGCUAUUUUAGUAUCACAGUUUAAGCCCGAUAUCCAAUCAGAGUGCAUACUGAUAUCAGUAUCAUCCCUACUUUUAAUAAUCGCUAUUAAUUAGAAUUAUUGUAAAAAAUGACAGUGACAAACAGCUAGCAUGUUGCAUUUGUGUAAAUGAUAAAUGUAAUAAAUGUACAUUUGCAUAAAAUGAUAGUACGAAUCUCCUGUGUCUUAUUAUAUCUGUAUCUUAAUUUUUUGCUUUUUGACUGUCUUGACCUAAUAAAUGUGAGCCUCCAACA